GGCAAGAUCAUAUGCUCUUGCUGCAGCCUCCUCAUCAUCAUAUGCUCCUAAAUAAACUUGCUUUCCUUUCUUAUUUUGGUUUUGAUUCCAGGUACUUUUAUCCCAAAGAUGAGCUUCAUAACGACCAGUCCAUCUAUGCCUAGUGACACCACGAUAGAUGGAGCUGCGCUUCCCUGCAGUACAUGGGGGCAUUUUGCUUAUGCGCUCCUUGGCUGUAUAACCCCUUUCUUUUUUCGCUUUUUUCAGUCCUCUAUAUAAUAACAGUUGAUCAGUCCCUAUAUGCCCCAUAGCUUCUGAUGUUUCUCCACCACCAGCAUCAUUGCCACUGCUACCCUCAGUCUUGGCAGUAGGCUCAGAGGAAAGGGAAGCCAU
rnacentral:misc_RNA from 1 species